AGUGGACGCUGGCGGUAGGCCUAACACAUGCAAGUCGAACGGCAGCACAGUAAGAGCUUGCUCUUACGGGUGGCGAGUGGCGGACGGGUGAGGAAUACAUCGGAAUCUACUUUUUCGUGGGGGAUAACGUAGGGAAACUUACGCUAAUACCGCAUACGACCUACGGGUGAAAGCAGGGGAUCUUCGGGCCUUGCGCGAUUGAAUGAGCCGAUGUCGGAUUAGCUAGUUGGCGGGGUAAAGGCCCACCAAGGCGACGAUCCGUAGCUGGUCUGAGAGGAUGAUCAGCCACACUGGAACUGAGACACGGUCCAGACUCCUACGGGAGGCAGCAGUGGGGAAUAUUGGACAAUGGGCGCAAGCCUGAUCCAGCCAUACCGCGUGGGUGAAGAAGGCCUUCGGGUUGUAAAGCCCUUUUGUUGGGAAAGAAAAGCAGCAGGUUAAUACCCCGCUGUUCUGACGGUACCCAAAGAAUAAGCACCGGCUAACUUCGUG
rnacentral:rRNA from 1 species